rnacentral:rRNA from 1 species
GACGGAGGGUGCAAGCGUUGUUCGGAUUGACUGGGCGUAAAGGGCGUGUAGGCGGUCGGUCAAGUCUGAUGUGAAAGCCCGGGGCUCAGCCCCGGAAGGGCAUCGGAAACUAGCUGGCUGGAGCGCGAUAGAGGAGGGCGGAAUUCCUGGUGUAGCGGUGAAAUGCGUAGAUAUCAGGAGGAACACCGGCGGCGAAGGCGGCCCUCUGGAUCGUUGCUGACGCUGAGACGCGAAAGCGUGGGGAGCAAACAGG